rnacentral:rRNA from 1 species
UACGUAGGGACCGAGCGUUGUCCGGAUUCAUUGGGCGUAAAGAGCUCGUAGGCGGCUGCUCAAGUCGAAUGUGAAAACUCGAGGCUCAACCUCGAGCCUGCAUUCGAUACUGGGCGGCUAGAGUCUGGUAGGGGGAUCUGGAAUUCCUGGUGUAGCGGUGGAAUGCGCAGAUAUCAGGAGGAACACCGGUGGCGAAGGCGGGAUCCUGGACCGGUAUUGACGCUGAGGCGCGAAAGCCAGGGGAGCAAACGGG